rnacentral:lncRNA from 1 species
GUAGAAUUAUUGAGUGGAAAAAUCAAUUUAAAGAAAUUAAUUAAUGAAAUAUAGCAAAAAAAGUCAAAAAAUCACUAAACUUUUUAAGGUGUCAUAUUAUCACAUGUGGACCCUAUAGAAAAAAUUUGAGAAAGUUUAGAGCAGUUACAGUAUCAGAUGGACAAAAACCAGAUAUUUCCAAUAUGAUCCACAUGCGCAAGUGUUUGGGUUUUGUACAUCUGACAUCAUAACUUGCUCUAAUUUUUUUCAAAUUUUUAUCAUAGGCUCCUCAUGUGAUAACAUGACACCUCAAAAAGUUUCGUAAUUUUCUGAUUUCGUUUGAGUUUUAUAUAAUUAAAAGUCACUUCUACCACACUUGGAUGAUCAUGUUUCGUGGACAAGGACUUCAAAAUUUUGGGUUAGUUUUUGGAUAUGGUCUAAAAAUACAUUAUUCAACAUGAAUAUCAUUUUUCAAAUGACUAAGUUUUACUAUUUCAUACACCUAUAGUUCAUAGUAGGAUUAUUGAGUGGAAAAAUCAAUUUAAAGAAAUUAAUUAAUGAAAUAUAGCAAAAAAGGUCAAAAAAUCACUAAACUUUUUGAGGUGUCAUGUUAUCACAUGUGGACCCUAUAGAAAAAAUUUGAGAAAAUUUGGAGCAGUUACAGUAUCAGAUGGACAAAAACCAAACAUUCUUUGCCGACUGCCCUAGAUCCAGGUAGUCGGCAAAGAGUAUUUGUAAAUAAAAUAUACUGCUCCUUUGCCGACUGUCUGCCCUAAUAGUAGUCGGCAAAGAACUUAAGCCUAAGAGCCCCAGCGUUAUCUUGAAAAAAAAGAAAAAAACUCCCACCCGCACGCAGGCAGCAUCGCUCCUACCCCUCGUUUGAGGUGUCAUUCUAUCACAUCUAGAGCCUAUGAUAAUAAUUUCAAAAAAUUUGGAGAAAAAAAAAUGGAGCAAAUUGAGGCUACAAAUAAAUUAGAGAAAAAAGUUCUUUGCCGACUGCCCUAUAUCCAGGCAGUCGGCAAAGAAUAUUCGUAAUUAAAAUAUUUCCAGCCUUUGCCGACUGCCUUGCCAAGUGGGAGUCGGCAAAGGACUUAAAUCUAAAAGGCUUCCCAGUUACUGGACCGUGACUUGUCCGCACCCGUGCCUAAAACGAAGGAGCCAGCGCUGCCAGCACCCGCGCCUCCUCCCCUGUCCGCACCCGCGCCUACCUCCUCCCCUGCCCGCACCCGCGCCUCCUCCCCUGCAGCGAGCGCCGCCGCCGCCGCACUCCCGCCGUCGGCCGCGCCCCGCCAUCCGCAUCUCGCGAAGGUACGCCCACGCUCACGGUCUCCGGCUGCCUACUGGAUCAACCCC